AGAAAAGAGGACACAAAAGCAUGAAUAACAGGAGGAUGGAUAUAGAAUACCAGCAUCAGCAAGUGUACACGAUUUAAAGCACAUUUGGUAUCUAUUACCAAGCUGCCCUUCAGAGAGGUUGUCUCGUUACACAUUCCACAGCUGUGACUGAGAAACCGUCUUGUCGCAUUUGACAAUCCAGGUUACUAUCUAAAAACUUGAGUUUGUAAGAGCAACACGCCAUGAGAUAAUAUUCGUGCAAAUGUAACUGACAAAAGACUAACAUCCCAUAAUACUAGAGCACCUACAAACCAAGAAGAUAAACAUCCCAUUGGGAAAGUGUAAAAAUAUGAACAUAAAGUUUACAGAAGAAAAAACACAAAUGGCUCAUAAACACACAAAAAGAUGAUAUUGCUUCCUGGUAAUUGGGGAAAUGCAAACAAAAACUACAAUGAAAUAUCGUGGUAUCGUGUAUCAAAUUUGCAGAGCAUAAAAUAGAUUACAUUCGCAACCAGCAACUACAACCCAACCUUCAGCCUCACUGGACUUCUUGCCAUUCCCCAAACCAUAUCCACGCCCCUCUCCACAGGCUGUUCCUUCUGCCUGCAUGCCCUCGAUGGCACCAAGGGGGAUGGGCACACUAACACAACUGCUGGGAAUGGGAAAGUUUCAACCUCUUGGGAAUAAAAUCUAACAGUAUUUAUUGGAAUGUAACCUGUGCAUACUCCACAGCUGGGCCACUACCCUGCAAGAACCCCUCUGGCUGCUGCACAAAGCUCUUCUCUGCAUCCUUUUUUAUACUAGUGGAACCCUGGACACAGCCUGCAUAUGGAUCAAAAGGGCAGUGGUUAUAAAUAUACUAUGGUCCAUCUCUAGGCUAGACUGUGAUGCAGUGGUUAAAGCCAAGUAUUGCAGAAGAGUGAUUAAGCAUUCGUGCUCCAAAGCCAGAUAGCCUAGGUUUCAAUCCCAGCUUUGCCACUUACUUGCUGUGUGAUCUUGUGCAACUCACUUAGCCUUUCUGUGUCACAGUUUCUCCAUCUGUAUAACGGACGAUAACACUAGCCCCUACCUCAUAGGGUCAUUGUGAAGAGUAAAUGAAAUUAAUAUUGCCUAUGUCACAGAGUGAUCCUCCUCAAAAUCUAUUAGAUGAAAAAAGAAAUUUCUAGAAAUUAUCUACAUACAUAUUCUGAUGGGAUUUGUGUAAAGAAUUUAACCAACAAACCCAUAUUACACACACAUACACACACACUCACACAGACACACUCACACACACACACACGCACUCACGUGCGUAGAAGUAGAUCUAGGAAGAUCCAUGACACACAUGCGAGGCAGGUGAAUGGGGACAUUAAAAGGAGGACUUCCACGUUUAAUUCUGAAUGGUCUAUUUUAUUUGUGCAAUUUUUAAAAAUCAAAGCAAUAAAUCACUGUAAAAGAAA
rnacentral:lncRNA from 1 species